AUGACCACAGCGAUCCAUCGGGUAUAAAUUUGGCCGCAGAGCAACUCCCCGGUGCAGAUAACCCCAACGAUGGCGAUCAACAAAGUAGCUCUCGUCUCAGCCGUGCUGUUGCUGGUGAUCUCUUCCGCUGCUGCUGCUGCAGGGAGAGAUGUUCCUCCAGUCCUCCCCAAGGACAACGUUCUGCGCGACCACGGUAUCAUGAAUACCCCAGAGGAGAACGGCGGUCGCUCCGAAUCCAAGAUAUACGCCAUCACGCAGCCAAUAUUCCAUCCUCCCUACGUCCCACCUUGUGCUUCCAAGGCCGUUCGUGCGAGCGGGGUCACCAAGGACGAGAAGCGUUGUUAGGAGGGCAAGUGCUGCCGAGUAACUUGCAUCUCCAGCGGAUCCCUGUCAAGAUGUGAACAUGUGGAUCGUCAUCUGGUAUAAAAUAAGGAUAAAUAAUGUACCCGCGUUUUGCUACUGGCUUUGUAAAGCAACAUCUAUCAAACAGUAUGUUACUACUAAUAAAGACCUAUCGAUUAUGUCUCCGAAAAAAAAA